rnacentral:lncRNA from 10 species
CUUAAAGAUGUUUAUUCCAGAUAAUAAUUCACAAUAUUGACUCUCAAAAAAUAUAUAUUUAUCACUUGAUUUUUGGGGACUUGAUGACUUGUGGAAACAACCAGAAGCAUAGGUCACUUUUAAUUCAUAAUUAUCGUAUGUUUAAUCCACCCUGUUGUAAAAUUGAUGACGCUAUGAACACAUGCUUUAAAUACUUAUUCACCCAUUCAUCGUCUUCCACAAAGGAUCUGACUGUGUGACUUGAAGGAGGCAUUAAAACAAAUGAUAAAAUGAAAAUUCAAGGAUAGAAUUAAAAAUCAAGCCUGGGCAAAAUACAAAUAAGUGAGUAAGAUACCAAGACUAAGAAAGAUUAAACAUGCAAUUCAUCAACAUUACUACAAUUAAGCCUCAUAUUUGGAUCUAAGCUUCCUAGUAGACAUUGUAAAAAAGGGAAAAAUAGUCAUAUUGUUGUUAUAGGCAAACAAAGGAGUGGUAAUGUAAGUUAUUUGAAUGGAAAAAACAUUCCUAGGAAAUGGGGAGACAUACCAUAAUGUUAAUAUGUAUAGCAUGAUAUAACAUGUAAUAUAUAAUGGUGAUUAGGAAUGCUGGAGUCAUAAAAGAUCUGGAUCCGAUAACUAAUCCCACUAUUUAACUUCUGUGAGCUUCAAAUUUCUCAUGUUAACAAGGAUUUUUUAAAUAC